CACGAGAGAGCUAAAUUCGUCAAGGUGGCAGCUGACGAUAAACUACGCAUCAACGGCUCUCCUUUCGCUUUGACCAAAACGCUCUCGAAAUUUUAGCUGGAUAAUGCAGUAAUCAUCUUUUGCAAUUCCGACGGAUCGACCCACGGUGCCUCUUCGAUGUAUCCAAUGCAGAGAGAUAAAACACUUUCACGUUCCUAGCUGCUGCAUUUCUGCGCCACUAGAUAAUCCUGGCAUAGUGGCAUUGGCAUUUGCAUUUUCAUUGACGUCCUGCAGUUAACUCCUGAUGGCCGCAAACCUUAUAAAACAACAGUACCCUAAACCACGGUUGGAUUUUGAAGUCGGUGGCGGCGGCAACGCUACUGAGAACGCGGAAACAGAGAAGCGGAAGGAAGACAACCCGACUUCCGGCGAUGGUAGUUCGGCGGCUUUAGUUUUGCCGAGGGAGGAAGCCAUGCGGCUCGCCAUCUACAUUGCCAUGGCGCAUGGCGGGCUAGCCCUAUCGUUUGCCCUGAUAUGCGGUCUAGCCUGGCUGCUGAAGGAUUACCGGCGGCCAAUUCAGUGGGCAUUGCUCUGCUCGAUGCCCCUCCGCGAGCUCCAUACCGCACUCGUCUCCUUCUGGUCUCACCCGCUCCGCCUCGGGCUCCCUGAGACCCUUCUCGCCGUCCCCCUUGUCGUACUUCGCUCCGUCGCCAGCUCCCUUAUCGACUCCCACACUGCUCUUCACCGCCUCCUCCGCCGCCAGAGUCAGCCGCGCCAACCACUCCCUCACCUUGGUUUCUCAAAGCUCAUGCGAUGGCUCGUUUCCUUCGCAUUCUUCGUCCUCCUCCACGAGCGCUUGGGCCCCCUCGCGUUCCCCGUCUUCGUCCUUCCUGGCUUCCUCGCUUUCGCCCGCACUCGCCCUCCCCCUCUUUCCGCCACCCUCUCGGCCAUCUCUUUCGCCCGCCGCAACCGCCGCAGCCGCAAGCACUCCUCCGAACCCCCGUCGCAUGUCCUCAGCCGCUUCCUCACCUUCCGCAUCCUUCGUAGCCUCAACACCCUUAUCGCUGUCAGCCUUAUACUUGCUAUGAUCUCCGUCUUCCUUUUUGGCUCCGUCCUCUUCUCCUACAAGAUCGCCAUCGAGGGUCGCGACGCCGUCGUCGCCCUCAAGACCCACUUCCAAGAGCACAAUUACACGGAAAGGAUCGGCCUUCAGCGCUGGAUGGACGAUCACGAUGUACCCGAGCUAAUCGAGUCCGGCGCUUCCAAGCUAUACGAUACCGUCGUCCACUACGUUGAUUCUCUUGCCCUCCAUUACAAUGCCACCGAGCUCGCCGACGGAUUGAAGCAGUACCUCAUUAAGCCCUUGGAAAAAUCCUCCAAUUCCUCAUCUUUCAUCACAAAGAAGUGUUCCCUCCACCCUUUCUCUAUUAAACUCCGCAACCUUGUACACCACAUCCGUAACCAGGAGUGGCGGCAAACUUAUGCAGAUUCCGAUUAUAUGGUAAAGGAAUUCCUAUCUGUGAUUGCCAGAGAAGACUUGGUAGAAAAGAUCAAAGGUUUUGCUCUUCAGAGCAUAGAUAUGUCCAAACAGGUCUUGGCUAGCAGCACCAUGGUUUUGUCUGGGAGUGCCAAUUUGCUCUUCUCCAUUUCUCUUUCCAUAGUCUCUGGUGCUGCUGGGUUGUUGAAUUUCGUGUCACAAGUCUUCAUUUUCUUCUGGCUCCUCUACUCCUUAAUCACUUCUGAAUCAGGUGUCAUGGAUCAUGCUCUUGGCAUGCUUCCCAUAUCCAAGUCUAAAAGAGUUCGUUGUGCAGUGGUGCUUGAUCAUGCUCUCAGUAGUGUGAUGUUGGCUGCUGUGAAAGUUGCUCUUUUUCAGGGGUGCUUCACAUAUCUCUUGUUUCGAUUCUACCAUAUACAUUUUCUUUAUGUAUCUACUUUCAUUGCCUGGACAAGUGCAAUACUGCCAAUUACGCCAUUCUGGUUUUCUUCUGUUCCAGCUGCUGUUCAGUUGGCUGUGGAGGCUAGGUAUGUUGAAGCUGUGGCGCUUACAUCCAUACAUCUCAUUAUCUUAGAUUAUGGGACGCUUGCAAUCCAAGAUGAAAUACCAGGGCAAAAUGCUUAUUUGACAGGGCUUAGCAUUCUUGGUGGAAUGGCAUUGUUCCCAUCAAUUUUGGAGCCUGUUUCUUUGCAAAAUUCCUUUGUUGGUGGAGAUUUUCACUUUUUAACUUGCCGAGGCGGAGUAGAUUCUUCAUUGCUAUUGGAUAACAGGUCUCGUCUAUUGCUAGAGUUGAGGUUAAUUCUCUCAAACUGUGACGUUGCCUUCAUAUAACCGAGUUUGAGGAUCCCUUUGGAAUUUCUAUCGUUGAGUGGCUUACGAAUUUGCUUCAAUACUUAUGAAAUCAUCAUGGGAGCAAUCAUGGGACCUUUGUUGUUGACGGUCAUGAUUGCUGUGAAAAAUCUUUAUGCAGAAUUUGUUCUUGGAUCUUCGAAGGAAAGCAGUAGUUGACUUUCUCAAGGUGGUAUAUGAUGCUGGUAAUAGAAGUGGCCUGUUUUUUCGUUUUUCUUCUUGGUGUAGAUAUGUUUGAUAAUUUUUAAUCUUUGAUGUAGUUGACAUUUUAUCUUCAACUUCGUUGCUUUAGUAGUUUAAGACUUCGUUUGGGAUAGCUUUUUUCUGCUUUUUAAAGUAGUUUUUUAGUACAAAAAUUUUAAUUUUUAUACUAGAAAACUGCUUUAUUAAGCAGUAAGAAAGUCGUCCCAAAUGAAGCUUAAAUUUUUAGAUAUGUCUACAGUAGACCAACAUGCUGAUAGCACUAUCGUAUUUUAAUUGAAUAAUUGAAUUUUUUGCUC